AUGAAAUUUUGCUUUAAUUUGUACUUCGUUUUGCAAAAUUGUAAAAUGAUCCUUAAGCUUUUUCUAUUUUUAACCAAUAGGACAAAUUAGCCUGUUAAUCUGCCCAUAAUUUCGGUUUUGCGUAAGGUAUCCAACUUUCCAGUCAGGAAAUGAAACUGGAUCUACCACUACUGCGUACCCUGGAACUGUUUGCAUGGCAUUUGAGUCACAAAUUGUGACGAGGAGGGAGGAGGACGAGAAGGAAGAUUGCAUAAUAAAUAAUGCCCACUGUUUGGUUGGUGGUCUCAUCAUCUCGGAUGUAUCUCCAGCUAUCUAGUUAGUUAGUUAUAGUCUACGUUACGUACAGAUCUGGCUGGCUGGUGAGAUAGUAAAGCCUUGUUCAUCCUCAUCAAUUAACGUCCCCGUUUUCCCUUGAUGUUUGAGCCUCUCAUUAUUUAUUCAUCCCGUUAAGCAUCACUCGGAGCAAGAACCCCGGAAAAGUGGGGACUAAAUUUAGUUGUUCCGCGGCGCCUGCGAGUAAGUAGCAGAAUCCAAAUAAACAAGGGAGCUGGAUGGAGAAGAAUAAUAAACAAAUACGUUUUUUUAUAAAAAAUGGUCGAAAUUGGAAUGGCUCCUAAACUUUCAUGAAUCAUGAAUGCGAAAUUAUACCCACAAAGAGAGAAAGAACAGAUUUUGCUUUAGCUCUGAAAUUCCAAUGGUAAUUUAUUGGCAAAAAAUGUUUGUAAAUAUUUUCAAGUUUUUUGCAGCAGCGGUACAAUUAUAAUUUUUUUUUGUUUUUUUUUGUAAUUUUUGA